rnacentral:rRNA from 1 species
GUUGGUGUUGAUUGCGGCGAGGGUCCACCCGUUCCCAUACCGAACACGGAAGUUAAGCUCGCUUGCGCUGAAAAUACUCGGCGGGAAGCUGCCCGGAAAGAUAAGUAGAUGCCAACA